CCGACAAUCUACGAUAAAGGUGUCUUGUUAUAGACUUAAUAGGGAAUCCGGUGAGAAUCCGGAACUGUCCCCGCAACUGUAAGUGCAGACGAUUUUGAGAAACCACUGUACAUGAAUGCUUAACGGCUCUUGUAUGGGAAGGCUCAGAAUAGGAAGAAGCACGAGUCAGGAGACCUGCCUUUACCGAUUUAGUUUC
rnacentral:ncRNA from 2 species